rnacentral:rRNA from 1 species
AUCCCCUUAUGUGAUAACUGACGUUGAGGGACGAAGGCUUUGUGUAGCGAACAGGAUUAGAUACCCCCAGUAGUCGAAGCAGAAAAUGAUGAAUGUCAUAGAUUAGAUAUAUAAGUUUAUUCUAUAAAUGAAAGUGUAAGCAUUCCACCUCAUGAGUAAUUUGGCAACAUUGGAACUGAAAUCAUUAGACCGUUUCUGAAACCAGUAGUGAAGUAUGUUGUUUAAUUUGAUGAUCCGCAAAAAACCUUACCACAAUUUGAAUAUUUAUAUUAUUUAUUGUUUUAUUAUUAAUAUUCUUCAUUUUCAUCAGAAAAAGAAGAAUAUUAAUAAUAAGGCAAUAAGAUAUA